UUAGUUAUUGUACAGUAUAAUAAAUAAAUGUCUACUUACAGAACAAAGGUCAGGAAGGUUUGCUCAUCGCCCAAUUUAAAAAUAAUUUAUAUUUCCGGUAGGCCACUUCCGGCCUAGCCAUGGCGGCUAACGCACUACCAACCCGUCGCAGUUGCUGCCGCUAGAGCUUGUGGACAAAUGUAUAGGAUCAAGAAUUCAUAUUGUUAUGAAGAGCGAUAAGGAAAUCGUUGGUACUCUUCUAGGAUUUGAUGACUUUGUCAAUAUGGUACUAGAAGAUGUCACUGAAUUUGAAAUCACACCAGAAGGAAGAAGAAUUACUAAAUUAGAUCAGAUUUGCUAAAUGGAAAUAAUAUAACAAUGCUGGUUCCUGGAGGAGAAGGACCUGAAGUAUGAAUGGGUUUCCUUGACUUAUGCUAGAUUCUGUUUUGUCUUAAAAUGACAAAAAAAUGGAUUUUUUUUUUUUACUUUUUAAUAUUUAGAUCCUAUAAAGCAGUUUCCCGUUAAAGGGAAAUACUUUGAAGAUGUAUACCCAUUUUGUAAGUUAAUCAUGAUUAUCUUGGAAAAAGAAGAAAAGAAUUUCUUCUUUGAAGACUAAAAUAAAGAUGUUUUUUGUUAA